ACGAACGCUGGCGGCGUGCUUAACACAUGCAAGUCGAACGAUGAAGCCUAGCUUGCUAGGUGGAUUAGUGGCGAACGGGUGAGUAAUACGUGAGUAACCUACCUUUAACUCUGGGAUAAGCCUGGGAAACUGGGUCUAAUACCGGAUACGACCAAUCUCCGCAUGGGGUGUUGGUGGAAAGCGUUAUGUAGUGGUUAUAGAUGGGCUCACGGCCUAUCAGCUUGUUGGUGAGGUAACGGCUCACCAAGGCGACGACGGGUAGCCGGCCUGAGAGGGUGACCGGCCACACUGGGACUGAGACACGGCCCAGACUCCUACGGGAGGCAGCAGUGGGGAAUAUUGCACAAUGGGCGCAAGCCUGAUGCAGCGACGCCGCGUGAGGGAUGACGGCCUUCGGGUUGUAAACCUCUGUUAGCAGGGAAGAAGAGAGAUUGACGGUACCUGCAGAGAAAGCGCCGGCUAACUACGU
rnacentral:rRNA from 1 species